CCCAGGGACAGCAGGGCAGCUGGGGCUGGAGGAGCCCUGGGGCCCUAGUACCCACACCUGUGACCAGCGCUGGCAGUGGGGGGAGCGGGGCACGAAGCGCCUUUGCCCAGGAAGGGAAGCGAGGAGCUAGGUGCCUCCAGCCCGAACGGUGAGAUCUGGGAGAGUUCCAGAGUCAUUCCUUAACCCUGGAUGAGCCCCUGCAGCCUGGGUGCUACUCAGGUUCCAGCAAGACCUGGAGCAGGUGCAGCCCCCGCGCUGUGCCUGCCAGAUGAUGGCCGCUGCCCAGGUGGUGCUGGCUGUGGAGGAGCUGGGCGCUGCCUCCCUGUGCACGGGCGUACCUCUCGGGCUCUGGCCGGGAAGUGUGGCUGAGUUGCUUCUCUCUGGAAUUCACUGAGUGUGCCGUCCUCGGGGGCAUACGUCCUUGCUCCACAUCAGGCCACAGGAGCUGCCAGCAGGUACCAGCAUGCCCUGCUGAGCAGUGAGCCCGCAGCGUGUCGUGGAUGCCC